GCUCACAGCCACACUGCCCUGAACGCACCCAUCUCAUCUGAUCUCUGAAAUACACAGAGUCAGGCCUGGGUAGUAUUCUGAUGGCAGAACAAAGGAUUCAUUUGCAGCCUUCUGUGAGACAUGGAACUUCUGAGAA
rnacentral:rRNA from 1 species